CCCUGCAGAAUAAAGAAGCCGGGCCUCCAAGGGAGUAUUUACACCUUAGGAAAGUUUAAAGUUGGGAAGAGAACAGCAGGAACUGGACACAUAUAUGGAAGAAUAAAAAAAGAACAACACUCCCUGAGGACCAAAGUUCCUCUGACCCAGCUAUUACAGGAGUGAUGAAUAAGCCUCAAAUCUUUGGAUACACCCGGCAAAUUUUAGAUGCUCAUGCAAUGCUGCUGAGCUCCUUACAAAGGGUUGCAAAAAAAGAUUUCCUCAGAAGAUAAAGUACAAGCUUCAAGAUGGGCUGGGUAUUCCAGGAGAAACGUUUUUCUCCUGUUAUUUGCAAGUACCUUGCUGUUUCUGCAAAAGGCAUCAGCUGGAGACAUUGAAGACUGCGGGCAAGCCCAGAAAAGCUGCUUCACGCUAUGGGAUCUCUUCUGUUCCCUACCCUGCCUCCCCAAAUAUGAAGAAGACACCCUGAGGUGCAUUUGGCUGAGAAUGGGAUGAAGGAGAGAGGCGGAAGAAGAAAAAUACAACUGCCCGGUUGAUUGCAUGACAAAUCCAGGCUGCUUCUUCCAGCAUCUGCUGGGGAGCGUGAGGUGCCCCCUGAUGGGCAGAAACAGCUGCAUCUGACCCCAUCCUUGGCUGCAGGAAACCCUGAGCAAUG
rnacentral:lncRNA from 1 species